GGCAGAAGUAGACUGCUCAUGCUAUCUUUGAUCUCCGUUUACCGUCCGAACGGAUUGUUUCCCACAUUCACUUUCUUCGUGGGGGGUAUGGACGCGGCCUCUGUGGAUCUAAGAGUGGCAUCCUAGAUUCUUUCAAGGCGGAUUCUUUGCGUUCGUGGUGCGAUCUGAGUAAUAGUUUGCAUUGGGGCAUGCGGUUAGUGGCCGAACCGGUGUCUGAGUCGGUUGUAUAAGAAAGCGUUGCUCAUUGGGGGACGAUGAGUGCCGGGCACGAAGCCUCGGGCGGGGUUGCUUUCUAUCUUUUCCCCGUAGUUCAACCUAGUCAGUUGACCAACUCAAUCUCUUUCUCAAGUUUCGGGGGACGAACAGCUCUACGAGUGCGCAAGAUUGGGUAAGGCCCUAUCCAAUUCCCAUCCUCUUAUAACCAUUUUCUUAUCUUGCUGGGAUUGAAGAGCCAGACAUGACGAGGUCCCUUCACUCGAAAACCUGCAUUGGGGUAAUGUCAUCCCCGGGACCAGUGCCAAUCGAAACGCUAAGGAACAGAGCCGCUCCUUCUUGAUUCCACCAGCCUCCUGCAUCCCACAGUGAUGGGUCUAUCACUUGUUCUAUUUUCUUUCUUUUUUUGACUUCCUGUGAUAGUGAAAAGAGAAAUUCAAAAUAUCAUAAAGAAAGCGUAGAAAUGAGAGGUGAAUGGCCUUCUAAUUCUAAAUGUAACUCUACUGAAGACCUUAAGACAUGGAAUGCCAAUUCUGAUCGUUCACUUCUAGCUAUGAUUCUCUCUCUAUGUUAACGAAUGCUAAUCCACUUUCUAUCCUUCUUCCCUAGUGUGGU
rnacentral:lncRNA from 1 species